GACGAACGCUGGCGGCGUGCUUAACACAUGCAAGUCGAACGAGAAGGGAUGAGAAGCUUGCUUCUUAUCAAUUCGAGUGGCAAACGGGUGAGUAACGCGUAAGCAACCUGCCCUUCAGAUGGGGACAACAGCUGGAAACGGCUGCUAAUACCGAAUACGUUCUUUUUGUCGCAUGGCAGAGAGAAGAAAGGGAGGCUCUUCGGAGCUUUCGCUGAAGGAGGGGCUUGCGUCUGAUUAGAUAGUUGGUGAGGUAACGGCUCACCAAGUCGACGAUCAGUAGCCGGACUGAGAGGUUGAACGGCCACAUUGGGACUGAGAUACGGCCCAG
rnacentral:rRNA from 1 species